rfam:Zootermopsis nevadensis contig3451, whole genome shotgun sequence.
CAGACGGUGGUCUAGCGGUUAGAACGCUGGCCUUGUAAUCCUGGGGUUUCGGGUUCGAUUCCCGGCGGUUGGG